rnacentral:rRNA from 1 species
UACGAAGGGGCUAGCGUUGCUCGGAAUCACUGGGCGUAAAGCGCACGUAGGCGGACUCUUAAGUCGGUGGUGAAAUCCUGGAGCUCAACUCCAGAACUGCCCUCGAUACUGAGAGUCUCGAGUCCGGGAGAGGUGAGUGGAACUGCGAGUGUAGAGGUGAAAUUCGUAGAUAUUCGCAAGAACACCAGUGGCGAAGGCGGCUCACUGGCCCGGUACUGACGCUGAGGUGCGAAAGCGUGGGGAGCAAACAGG